AAUUUGUGCAAGCACUAAUGUUCUAGAAAUGUAAAUUUUGCAAUAUUUCCUUCCAAUAUGUGGUAGGUGUUUUUCCCCAGGUUCCCUCACAAAUGCUAAACCAAUGCUGAAUGAUGUUAUUCUUGCACUCAGGUGGACACCAAUUCCAAGUCAUUGUGUUGUUCAGGGAGCAGGAACUCCAAAUUCACCAGCAUAGCCCUCAAAGUAAUGGAGGCAGUGGAAACUUGCAAUGAAGGUCUUAAAUGCCAAGGAACACAGGAAGCAACCAUCCAUCCCAUCCAUCCCAUCCUUCACACAAAACCAAGGACAGAAACAAGUGUAAGGAAAUAGCAAGAGACAAUUGCCGACAGUGAUGUAGUCAUCUUUUUGUGGGUAUACGCAACUCCUCUCCAAUGUGUGGCAUUGCCGCAGGGAAGUCAGGGUAUACAAAUGCCCUGGAGGAUUAACAUCAAAGAAAUGCACCAAUAUGCAAGUCAAUUAUUGUACGAAGUUUCCUUUGAUUAUACAUAAGUUUAGCAUCCUGAAUUAUGUUAUAAUGACUUUUCAUUAUUUGAGCCAAAGGCAAUAACAUGGUGAUCAGUAAUAGUAGGAUGGUUACAAUUGGACUGCAUAAUUAUGAAGAUCAGCACAUGUUGCUCAUUUCCCAUUCCCAAAGGAGACUAUUAAGAUGCAUCCUUCCAGACCCACUGCAAAGCUUGUGGGAAGUGAACUCCCACCACCCGACAUCAGUCUAAAGAAGGGUUGACCCGAAACGUCGCCUAUUCUUUCUCUCCAUAGAUGCUGCGUUUCUCCAGCAUUUUUGUCUACAUUUGGAUAUUAAUAGGGUACGUUCCAAAGUACUAAGUCAUCAAACAUGCCCGAAAGGAAGAUAUUUGGAAAAAUGGGAAUGCUGUAAUACCUACCUUGCAGAGGGCCACAAAAUGAACAUGCCAUGCAGGCUUAACAGAUACAUGACAUUAAUCAUAAAGAUUUUAAGUGUUUGACCACUUCUCUAUUCUCAAAUCUCUAUUUUCAGGGAAUAACAGUUCUGGAAGUUCAUGAAGAGAUCAAAUCAAAUGUGGAGUCAAAACCACCAUCCAUGAUGGUUGUUUUUUUACCCCUUAAAUCUCCAACAAAUCUACAUCUGGGCAAAAUCUUAUGCCUACAUAUACGUAAACAAUUGGUGUAUUAUCAUGUGUUGUAAGAUUUUGCAUGAUGCAGGCUUAUCAAAUACACGAACACAGAUAGAUGAAGAGAAAGGAAAUAAUGGAGCAUAGUUUUACAGCUACAGGAAAAGAACAAAUAAAAAAAGGUGCAAAGUACACAUUAGAUUGGAAGCCUGGGAAUAUAUUUUUGCCAUAUGAGAGCUUCAUUCAAGAGUCUGAUGUACUGUGGGGAAGAAACUGUUCUUGAAUUUUAUGAUAAAUGUUUUUAAAAUAUUUGCAUCUUCAGCCCAAUGGGAGUGGGGAGAAAACAGAAUAACUGAGGUACGGGUAAUCCUUGAUUACAAUGGCUACUUUCAGCGCAUAUAUCUACAUGCCUAUUGGUUUCUCUAAAUACAACAAUGAAUUCCCUUCACCUUGGGAAGCAUUCCACAACAUUCCACACUGCAAUGACUGGACAUGGAGAUUCACAUCAUGUACCAGCCUGGAAUGAUGCCAGAGGCAAAAUAUUUAUCUAUUUCAAUACACAGGAGGUCCAGACAGAUGUACCAUUCUGAUGCCUUUCCUCACGGGGCGGGCAUAGUUGCGUAGCAGUAGAGUUGUUGCCUUACAGCGCUUGCAGCGCCAGAGACCCGGGUUCGAUCCAGACUAUGGGUGCUGUCUGCACGGAGUUUGCACGUUCCCCCUGUGACCUGCAUGGGUUCUCUCUGAGAUCGUCAGUUUCCUUCCACAUUUCAAAGAUGUACAGGUUUGCAGGUUAAUUGGCUUGGUAUAAGUGUAAAUUGUCCCUAGCGUGUGUUAAUGUGCGGGAAUUGUUGGUCAGUGCAGACUCAGUAGGCCAAAAUGCCCGUUUCAACACAGUAUUGAUAAACUAAAACUAAUAAACUCACGGACUGGAAAAGUUUAACCUCUGAAUGCACUGUUCUUCAGGCAGUUGGUGGCAAGCUUUGGAAUGAAAUGUAAACUCUCCCAAGUCAGUCUCCAGACUUUCUUCCUUCAGGUUUAUGAACAAAUUCAUGUCAUAUGAGCAGAAUUAGACAAUUUGGCCCAUAAAGUCUACUUCACCAUUCAAUCAUGGUUGAUCUAUCUUUCCCUGUCAACCCCAUUGUCCUACCUUCACCCUAUAACCUUUGAUAUCCUUACUAAUGAAGAAUCUGUCAAUCUCUGCUUUAAAUCUCUGCAAUAACUUGGCCUUCACAGCUGUCUCUGGCAAUGAAUUCCACAGAUUCACCACCACCUCUUCAGCAAGACUACACAAAUAUCCACAAUGUGCCACAACCUUGAUUCGCUGCACAGCCAAGUUCACCAAGCAACCUGUACUCUUGCCCUUUGGAAUGAAACACUCUGCUUUGCUUGGCUCUUUAGCUAAGUUUCUAGUAAUUCUAUUAAACUGCAUUGGUAUACACUUAUACCAAGCCAAUUAACCUGCCCAUCCCAAUUUAUUGCAAAGGGCAGCUAAAGAAGUCAAUACUCAUGUGCAGUCUGAAAAUUAUGGGGAUCCAGCAACUUGCAUUUUAUUUUUACAAAUGCACACGAGACACUGCAUGGUAGUAGCAAAAGAGUAUUCAUAGUGAUCGCAUGGGGCUGGAAGAACUAGCUAAUGGAUAUCAGGGAGAAAAUAUGUGAUAACAAUCCCGCCUCUCAGUUUGCACACCAUCUCUAGUGUGGUUCAAUGAUAAUUCAAUUUUUAGAGACCAUAAUCACAUUUAAACUUUAUCCAAUUUGGAUCACUUAUUAACUUAACCCCUAAUCAAAAUUGUAGAUGAAAUUUAAUGUUGAGAACUAUGUCGUGCUAUAUUUUGAUAGGACGAUUGAGAAGAGGCAAUAUAAACUAGAGGACAACUCUAAAAAGGUUACAGAAAUCAAGAGUUCUGGGAAUAUAUGUGCACAGCUCAUUCACAUGGCAGGCCACGUUGAUAAAAUGUUGUUGUUUUUUAAAGCACAUGGUAUCUUGGACCAAGGAGUACUUUAGCAAGGAAAUCAUUGUGAAACUUCAGAAAAUGGAGUUCUGCCAUAACUGAUGUGUAGUGAUAGUUCUGACCAACUCACUUCAGAAAAGAUAUGACAAUAUUAGUGAUUUACCAGAAUGAUUACAGGGAUUAGCUUUACUUAUGUGGAUAUAGAAAGACUGGAUUUGUACCCUUAAGCCAGAAAUAAAUUGAGGUAAUGAUAUAGAUAUUUAACAUCAUGAUGGUAUAAAGAUGAAUAGAUAGAAAUGGUUCCCAAUGAAGGGGUCAAAAACAAGAUGUAGAAUGAAGAUGUUUGGCAGAAGAACUAAAAGUUAUAACCCUCGUCCAUGCAUUUUGUUAUUUGUACACUUAUUUAUCCCAAAACUGCCCCAGACUCCACCAAUCUGUACAAACCUCCAUGUCAUUUACACACAACAUUCAUAUCAACUUGCACCUAGUCUCAUUCAUCCAGAUACUCAUCAGUUCUACAUUGUGAGUCAUAGAUAAAUAUAGCCACAAUUUUAAAAUGCUUAUUCUUCCACUCAAAACAGUUUCAGCUGCCUCAGUUGCCUUUGAUGAAACUAUCUGCCCCAUCCAUUUCUAACCUUUUGGGUAUCUUUGACUUGAGGAUGUGCUGCUUUAGACUCUAGAAUUUUCACCAUAAAUCUUUAUUUCUUUUCUUUAAGGAUCUCCACAAAACCAGUUU